GUGUCAGCAGCCGCGGUAAGACGAACCGUGCGAACGUUGUUCGGAUUCACUGGGCUUAAAGGGCGCGUAGGCGGAUUACCAAGUCGGGGGUGAAAUCUUUCGGCUCAACCGGAAAAUAGCCUUCGAUACUGGUAGUCUUGAGGGAGGUAGGGGCAGGUGGAACUUCUGGUGGAGCGGUGAAAUGCGUAGAUAUCAGAAGGAACGCCGGUGGCGAAAGCGACCUGCUGGAUCUCCUCUGACGCUGAGGCGCGAAAGCUAGGGGAGCAAACGGGAUUAGAAACCCGCGUAGUCC
rnacentral:rRNA from 1 species